CAGGACGAACGCUGGCGGCGUGCUUCAUACAUGCAAGUCGAACGAGAAGUUACCUUCGGGUAAUGGAAAGUGGCGGACGGGUGAGUAAUGUGUAGAGAAUCUGCCCUAGAGUGGGGGACAACAGUUGGAAACGACUGCUAAUACCGCAUAUGCGCGUACCUGAAAUGGUAUUCGUGAAAACUCCGGUGCUCUGGGAUGAGUCUGCAUCUGAUUAGCUAGUUGGCGGUGUAAUGGACCACCAAGGCGACGAUCAGUAGCUGGUUUGAGAGGAUGAUCAGCCACAAUGGGACUGAGACACGGCCCAUACUCCUACGGGAGGCAGCAGUAGGGAAUUUUGCGCAAUGGGGGAAACCCUGACGCCAGCAACGCCGCGUGAUUGAAUAAGCCCUUCGGGGUGUAAAGAUCUGUCAGUAGGGACGAAACUUGACGGUACCUACAGAGGAAGCAUCGGCUAACUCCGUGCCAGCCGCUGC
rnacentral:rRNA from 1 species